GGAGGAUGCGAGCGUUAUCCGGAUUUAUUGGGUUUAAAGGGAGCGUAGACGGGUCGUUAAGUCAGCUGUGAAAGUUUGGGGCUCAACCUUAAAAUUGCAGUUGAUACUGGCGUCCUUGAGUACGGUUGAGGCAGGCGGAAUUCGUGGUGUAGCGGUGAAAUGCUUAAAUAUCACGAAGAACCCCGAUUGCGAAGGCAGCCUGCUAAGCCGCGACUGACGUUGAGGCUCGAAAGUGUGGGUAUCAAACAGGAUUAGAUACCCUGGUAGUCCACACGGUAAACGAUGGAUACUCGCUGUUGGCGAUAGACUGUCAGCGGCUCAGCGAAAGCGUUAAGUAUCCCACCUGGGGAGUACGCCGGCAACGGUG
rnacentral:rRNA from 1 species